rnacentral:rRNA from 1 species
GACGAACGCUGGCGGCGUGCCUAAUACAUGCAAGUAGAACGCAGAUGUGAACGGGAGAGUUACGCGUAGGUAAAUGCCUGGUAGCGGGGGAUAAAUAUGGGAAACGAUAGCUCAUACCGCAUACUACCAGAUGGACCUGCGUUGUAUUAGCAUGUUGGUGGGGUAACGGCCCACCAAGGCAACGAUACAUAGCCGACCUGGGAAGGUGAACGGCCACACUGGGACUGGGACACGGGCCAAGCUCCUUCGGGGGGGAGGAGUAGGGGAUCUUCGGCAAUGGGGGGAAACCUGACCGCGCAACGGCGCGUGAGUGGAGAAAGGUUUCGGAGCGUAAAGCUCUGUUGUUAAGGAAGCGGUACUUAACCAGAAAGGAACGGCUAACUACGUGCCAGCAGCCGCGGUAAUAC